rnacentral:rRNA from 1 species
GAUGAACGCUGGCAGCGUGCUUAACACAUGCAAGUCGAACGAUGAAGCCCAGCUUGCUGGGUGGAUUAGUGGCGAACGGGUGAGUAACACGUGAGUAACCUGCCCUUGACUCUGGGAUAAGCCUGGGAAACUGGGUCUAAUACUGGAUAUGACUUCUCAUCGCAUGGUGGGGGGUGGAAAGAUUUAUUGGUCUUGGAUGGACUCGCGGCCUAUCAGCUUGUUGGUGAGGUAAUGGCUCACCAAGGCGACGACGGGUAGCCGGCCUGAGAGGGUGACCGGCCACACUGGGACUGAGACACGGCCCAGACUCCUACGGGAGGCAGCAGUGGGGAAUAUUGCACAAUGGGCGCAAGCCUGAUGCAGCGACGCCGCGUGAGGGAUGACGGCCUUCGGGUUGUAAACCUCUUUCAGUAGGGAAGAAGCGAGAGUGACGGUACCUGCAGAAGAAGCGCCGGCUAACUACGUG